ensembl:lincRNA
UGAUAUCAAAACGCGGAGGGCGGGGCCCGUGCGAAUGAGUGCGUGAGACGGACCGAGCGAGCCCGUAAUAUUGGAGGAAGUUGACUGUUGCCGGUUGAUCUGUGUGGUGAGAUCGGGUGAACGAAGUUGCAAGAGAGACGUGGACGAUGGAACAGGGAUGCAGAUCUCGUACCGCCGGAGACGACGACCCGGCAGAGCACCUGGAGGACCUCGCCAUGAAGAUCGUGGACGCUGAGAGGGCUCGUUACGACCGGGUGUUGCAUCAAUGAGUGCACCAGAUGGAUGGCAAGCUUUGUACCCUUGUGUGACGAUCAGUUGGUAUAUGUUAAAGAUCCUAUGGUGUCCUUCAAGAAAGAGCAGGAUUGCAAUUCUGAAGUCACAAGAGGUGAACGGCGAAGAGCCACAGGAACAAGAGAUGAAUGCUGACUGGCUGAAAGGACGAGGACCCUGGGUGUCUGCAGGGACUGGCCGGAAAGACGAGUACCCUGAGUACCUGCAAAUAAUUCAUACUUUUGAAUUUGCUACAAUUGUGUAUUGGUGGGCAUUGGAUGAGAAGACUGUAUCUGCAUCAGUGAAUGAAGUUUUCCUGAGUUUAAUGUGGACUGUCCUUGAGACAACACUGCACUUUGGAUUGGACAACACAGUAUAGGUAUGGAGGUAGAUCUUAUGGAAAAACAGCAGAAACUUUGUAAUCAGCCUGAGAUGACACCACAUGUUGCACUUUCCAUGUCAGAAGAAUACCAGGCAAAUUAUAUCAGAUCAAUGAUGACCAAGUUGAAAGAGUCACGAAGUAAGCUAUCAAAGGGAUUUUCAAGGACACCAAUUUAUAUGAUAGGUGAGAAUGGGUUUUGCCAGAACGUGGGAGAACAGGUAUCCUCUUCUUCUUUCACAAUAUGUGAGAACCCACCUUUUGAAAUGACUGGAGUCUCACUUGAUCUUCUUGCUUGUGGACAACACACCCAAACGAUGUUGGACAAAUAUAAUGUAUGAGGCCGGUUAAAAUCACGGUCGACACAUCUAAACCGUUUCCCAAAAAACACUACCUGUUGUGACCAGAAGCUGAUGCAGAUAAAGCACCAGUAAUGAAGUUUUUGCUGGAAAAAGGAACCAUAGUCCUUACGGUCAGCCUGUGCAACACACCCAUACUGCCUGUAAAGAAACCUGGAAAACAGACAUGGUGCUUUGUACAAGAUUUGAGAGCAGUAAAUGAUUGUGUAAUACCCACUUAUCCAGUGGUGCUAUAUCUGGUUACUUUCCUCUCCAGCAUUCCAAGUGGUACAAAAUAUUAUUCAGUUGUGGAUCUGUGUUCUGCAUUCUUUCCUCUACUGAUGCAUGAAGAUUCGCAACAGUUGUUUGCAUUCACUGACAAUGGCAGACAGUAAACUUGUACAGCAUUUCCGCAAGGCAAUACAGAAAGCCUGACGCUAUUCUCUUGAGCGUUUCAAGAGGAUUUCACUGAUGUUACCUUUCCAGGGGGCUCAGCAUUGCUGCAGCAUGUUGAUGAUGUCUUGAUAUGCUCUUCUUCAAAAAUGGCAUGCGAACAAGACACUAUUUUGCUAUUGACAGCCUCAGCAGACAAAGGACAGAAGGUGUCAAAGGACAAACUGCAAUUUUGCAAGGAAGAGGUAAAAUACCUCAGACAUAUUCUGAAAGGAGAUAUGAGACUUCUUUCACCGGAACGAGUAACAGCCAUGCGGACACUUCCAAAACCGACGGCCAUUAAGGCCUAAGUCACAUUCGCUCUACGGCGAGGAUACGGUGGCCGUACGCCCUCUGAAUUGACAGAAACGUGCGGCGGCCGCAGAGUUUCUGCGGUGGCCUCAGGGUGGCCCUACGCCGUUUGGCUAUAUUUUACAGGUCGUAAGGUCGCCGUGGAAUUAUAACGCGGAGUUAAAACUUUUUUCAUUUCCACGUUCGCCGUAGCAAUUCGACAAGCCGAAAAAAAAAUAAUAAUAAAAAAAAACUGUGAAAAAAAAAUAAAAAAUAUUAACCCAUUUGUUACCGUCCGUCUGGCCGCACGUUCGCCUUGGGGCUCCCUGCGGUCGCCUUGUGGGCACCUUGCGGCUACCUUGUGUCUGCCUUCAAAAUUCUAUGGUCGCUGCAGGGCCCCCUCAAGGUCACCGUGCGACAUGAAAUCAAAGACCGUACGGCAACCCCACGUUUUCGGUCUCCACGAUUUCUCAGACCUAAGGCCUAAGUCACAUUUGCUCUACGGCGAGGAUACGGCGGCCGUCCGCCCUCUGAAUUGACAAACGUGCGGCGGCCGCAGAGUUUCUGAGGUGGCCCUAUGCCGUUUGGCUAUAUUUUACAGGCCGUAAGGUUGCCGUGGAAUUAU